rnacentral:rRNA from 1 species
CCUACGGGGGGCUGCAGUAGGGAAUUUUCCACAAUGGGCGAAAGCCUGAUGGAGCAACGCCGCGUGGGUGAAGAAGGUCUUCGGAUCGUAAAACCCUGUUGUUAGAGAAGAAAGUGCGUGAGAGUAACUGUUCACGUUUCGACGGUAUCUAACCAGAAAGCCACGGCUAACUACGUGCCAGCAGCCGCGGUAAUACGUAGGUGGCAAGCGUUAUCCGGAUUUAUUGGGCGUAAAGGGAACGCAGGCGGUCUUUUAAGUCUGAUGUGAAAGCCUUCGGCUUAACCGGAGUAGUGCAUUGGAAACUGGGAGACUGGAGUGCAGAAGAGGAGAGUGGAACUCCAUGUGUAGCGGUGAAAUGCGUAGAUAUAUGGAAGAACACCAGUGGCGAAAGCGGCUCUCUGGUCUGUAACUGACGCUGAGGUUCGAAAGCGUGGGUAGCAAACAGGAUUAGAUACCCGAGUAGUC